GAGAGAAAGAGUUCACUUCAGCUGAAGAACAGACCAGAGAAAGAGAGAUGGAGAAGACAUAGAGAACUGCUGAGACUUAGAGAGAGAGAUGUGUAGAGUCUUAUUUGGAGAUAUGGAUACUACUAUCCUAGGUUGGAGAAGGAGGAGGAAAAUUGGAUUCCAGGUUUCAACAAAUGGAACUCCUUCUUCAACUUGGAUUCGUCAAAAAAAAAAAAAAUUAGGGUGGGAUUCGAUGUGUUCAGAAGAAGCAGGAAGAUAAAUGAGAUAUCCAAGCAUUGUGAUUGUGGCGAAUGUGGAUGCAGCAUCCUAUAGAACAGAUCCUGUCCAUGUUCUACUAGACUAAUAAAAGAACACCCAAAUCAUUUGCCUAAACUCUAAACCACGAAUAUCAGCAAUUACGAUAAUGUAUUCGAAAACAAAGAAAUUAUGUAUCACUACUUUAAUAUGAAUGGAAUCCUUUUCCGAUCAAGUUAUAAGUAGAACUGCCUAGCUAAAACUAAAAUUACCUCUUGUGUUCGGAAACAAACCCCCUUUGCUUCUUUGACAUGGGUCGUUUGUUUUCGGCAAUGACUGAUGAUUAGGAUGCAGGAGAGCUGGGGAAAACUGCUCGUGGUAUGAAUAUACGAUCCUGGUCCAACACUUGAUUUUUUCAGUGCUUGGGGGUACUUUAAACAACGCAUUGUUCAGCCAGGGACUGAAAUAUACAGCUCCCACCAUUGCAGUCGGGAAUUAGUAAUCUGUUUCCAGUAUUAACAUUCAUUUCCAGGACUGAAGAAUUACAAUUUAAAUCAACUACGGGAUGCUUGAAGAUAGCAGGAACUAUGCUUUCCGUUGGUGGAUCGCUAGUCCUGUCAUUCUACAGUGGGUUCCAAAUAUUUGUAAAUAAAUCCUCGGUUGAUUGGCGAUCUCUAAGAAGUUCAGGCACCACUCCAGAACCCAAUAGUGUUGGUCCGGUCUUGAUCGCAUUAAGUUGCUUGUCGAGAUUUAGUUGGUUUCAGCUGCAGGGACGGUUUUAUAAAGAUUUUCCUUUCCGGUACACCAGCACUGCCGUAAUAUGCCUACUUUCAAGCAUCCAGUGUGCUAUUGUUGGGGCUGGUACGAAGCAUACAAUUAGGGGCUUGGUCAUUAGCAUCAACCUUGAGAAUUGUAUCGGUCAUAUAUAGUGUUGGAUCUGCAAUCGCUUUCCUUGUGAAGAAUUUUUUCAUCACAAAGAAAGGCCCAGUAUUUGUGUCGAUAUUUAACCCAAUAUCUUUGAUCUUUAUUCAAAUUUUUGGUUGGGCCUUUUGUUAAGGAAAACGUCUACUUCGGAAGGUUACAUAAACUUUAUGAAUUAUGAUUUUGGGAAUACCAAAAAUUUUCAGGGCAUACAAAAUAGUUUUCCCAUCCUAGGUGACCUUAUAAGGGGUGUCUAUUGGGUAGUUCAAUUACGUAUAUUCCUUUGAACCUAAAU